rnacentral:lncRNA from 1 species
GGCAGAGCAGGAGCCCUCGGUGGCAGUGCUUGGGUGUCGAGGCUCUGAGGCUCCGGCCUCACCUCUCCACGGGGUCGAAGGGAACGUCUCCGGAUGCCAGGAGUCGCAAAGGGCCGACCAUGAUGAUGAAACCCCAGGCAGAGACGGGGGAAGCAGCACGGGAUCCCAGCCUCAGGCCUGCACGGACGGUGUUGGUUGGGAGACGAGGUCUCACUAUAUUGACCAGGCUGGUCUUGAACUCCUGGCCUUAAGCGAUCCUCCUGCCUUGGCCUCCCAAAGUGCUGGAGUUACAGAUGUGAGCCUCUGUGCUCAGUCCAUCCUUGGCUGUUCAAGUGUAGAGCCUGAAGAGCUUCCUUUAGGAUUUCUUGUGAGACAAGUCAGCUUUUAUUUGUCUGGAAAAGUCUUUAUCUCACUUUUAUUUGUGAAGAACUGCUUUGGCAGCAGCCGUACCCUCAAGAACUGCACCUUCCAACCACCCUUAUAUGAGCCUGCUCCAAAACCUUGCCAGCCAGCACUUCCAGGUUACGACUAUUGACCUCCAGCUCCCAGUUUCAGGUGAGAGAGAGUUCUCCCAGUCUCCUGGAUCACACUGGUCGGAAAGCUGUUUGGUAGACAACCUUCGAGUCUUUCUGCCUUCAUACUGUGGGAUAUAUUGUCCAUGAGAUCUUGUCCUGUGAAGUCUUUCCUGGCACAUAGUUACGCAUGCUGUUGCUGACUGUUGACACAUACCAUCGGCUAAGAGCAGUGGCUGGCUUUGAAACAGCUCCACCUUCCCUGAAUACUCUUUCAGCGUCUCUGACGUCUAGGCCAAGUUUGUGUACUUAGCUCCAUGACAGCAUCAAGAUACAAACAACAAGAACUGAUGGAUUUCAGUACAUCUUCUGGGGCUCCUGCCUGUGGGAUACAGCUUGUCUUUGAUGUCUUACCCUCUACAUCCAUGUCUCCUUCCUGUCUGUGCUGUGGACUUCAAACUCCAGCAUCAGACAUGAAGACAACAUCCUGCAGAGAUUGCUUUAAGCAGCUCCCACAGUUAUAACAACAUCAUGGCCCUAUAGCAAAUAUCAUAAAAAUUUUUCCACACCUAUAUUCACAAACAUAAAAUCUUUUAUUGGUUCUGUUUCUCAGUUGAAUCAUGACUGAUACAAUAUGAGAAGCAGUAUAUUAUUAUUUAUAGGUAAGGUGUCAUUAAUUACAGAUGCAUGGGUCAGGCAUAGUGGCUCAUCCCUGUAAUCCAAGCACUUUGAGAUACCAAGGUAGGAGGAUCCCUUGAGGCCAGGAAUUUGAGACCAGCCUGGGUAACAAAGUGAGACUCUGUCUCUACGAAAAACAAUUUUUUAAGGUGCAUAUUAUAAACCUAGGGAACCACUAAAAUAUUUUUAAAAGAAGCAUAAA